GGAAAAUAGUCUUGGAAGGGCCAUUCUUGGACCUUUGUGGGGGCACAUUAGCGUCAUAAGGGCUCUGACAAGUCCUGCAGGAAGGACACUGUCUCAAGUUUUUAUGCUCAGGGAACUCCUUUGGUCAGAACCCCCACGGGCACCCUACAGAACAGUCCAUGGCAUUCUCUUGGGGGUUGCUAGGCGAGGAGGACUCGAACAAGAUGAAUCCCAGUUACGUCCACCAGACACAGCCUUCCCAGACGGGCGUCCCACGGUACAUCGGUCAGCUGUGGCCGUGCGACAAACCACCCGGAACCUCGGCGGCACCGAACAAGAAGCAUUGGUUUCUUACUCACGGCCCAUCGGGCUUCAGCAAGAUCGAGGCUGGACCCGGCAGAUCUUGGCCUCCCCCUGAGGGCCGGGCCCCGGUCUGCCCCAUGCGUCCCUCUCGCUCUCUUUGGACGCGGCUACCCAAGGCGUGUUGUCCCCGUGAUGGCAGCAGGGCCAGUGGGAAAGCCUCGUGGGCAGGCACAUUUGAAGGUGCUCAUGGCGUGGUCACCAGCAUCCCUCUGGCCAAAGCAAGUCACGUGGCCAUGUUGGACACCGACAGGUCGCAGAAAGGGAAGUGCGCAUCACCUUGGAGGAGACGGGCAGGGAGAGAAUGUUUUUUGCCCAGUAAUCUCAUCUGUACAUUCUAUAAACUUUAAAAAUA